CCCCCCCCAUUUCUUUUGUUCAUCACCUCUGUCUCUCAUCUCCUUGCCAAACCCUAACACCGCCUUUCAUCCCUUCACCAUUUCCAGCUGGCGCCGGAGCUCGAACACACCCAAAUUUCAUCCAUGCAACCAUAGCCCUUCCCUCAACCCCAAUCCACCACCAUUUCUCCCUAAGUCCUCACCAAAUCAGUCCAGUUUUGAAUCUGGAAACAAAGAAUAAAAGAAUCCAUCAAGCCUUCAAACUCCCUUGAACGAUAGGGUUUGAAAUGGGCAUUGACCGUUUGUUUUCUUUCGGAACAUACGGUUAAUGCUUGUUUCGAAUCAAAUCGAAGCUGUAGAGUUCAUCAAGCUUUGUUCGGGCGACCUUAGAGGUAUUCUUUUUGUCUUUUCUCUAUCGUCUUUUUCGUCAGUUUCAUUAUUUAACUUUUUUUUCUACUGUUUCUCCUCCAUCUUCAUUCUGUCUUUUUCUUUCCAUUUUUCCUUUUGUUUCUGUCUUAAUUCGUACAAGCAAUAACCACGAGUUAACUUUAAUUAAUUUUUUUAAAGGGAAAGAAUUAAUUCGGUUUGUUAGUAUUAAAAUUGAUUGGACUCUUCUAGGGCCAUCGUUUGUGAUAAUGUGUUUGAGUCAGAGUUUUGGGUCUCAGAAUAUUCAUGGGCUGGGUGAAUUUUUUGGGCCCUCGAUUUAUUGUGACCCAUCCCAAUAACAGCCUUAGAGUUCUGGUUGUUCGAUUUGGCCUGACCCAUAAGUGGAUUGGGUUCAACGGUAGUAACAGGGUUUUAAAGGGGUAGUCUAGGUAAUUGGCUUAGGGAAUCUAGGUGUAACUAUCUAGGGAAGCUUCUAGGAAGCUGGGGUUGGGGUUAUUCUGAAUUUAUAAAUUGUACCUUGAGGACUCCUAAGCAAAAACAAAAAUUUCUGAAGGUUUGAAGGGCAAUUGUGAAUUCAUUGAAGUUGCACUAAAUGCCUUGCCUAUAAAGGCUCUUUAACUUGGCAUUCAAAAGGGGGAUAGAAAUCAGAUUGGAUAAAAAAAAUCACAAACGGCCAGAAAUAUCAAAAUCACUGUUCCAUUGAAUUUUCUUCUGUAAUCUUGAGGUUUUCAACUUCUAAAGUAAUUUAUAAAUCAUUAGGGAUUAAAAAUGGAGUGAACUUGGGUUUGUAGAAGUCUGGUUUGAAGUUGUUGGGUUACCAUUCGGUUGGAAAUGUUUUUUUGGACGACUGCAUAUCAUUUUUUGGUUUGCAAUUGGCUCUGUUGGUGCUGACUCCUUCUAUUGCUACUACUGAUCCUUCAUUUCUUAUUUCUUUUCAUUUCCAGGUAUGUAUAUCCAACAGGCCCUUAGCCAUUGAAUUGUGUACUUGAGGAUUUGGAUCAUCUGUUGCCUCACUAGCAAACAUCAUGUGAAUACCUAGCUUGAAUCCCAGAUUUUGAACAACAAUUCUGCUUUGUUCUAUUUUCAUCUCAUUCAUGCAAGUUAGAAUUUAGCUUUAGA
rnacentral:lncRNA from 1 species